AAUUAUUUCUGUCAAGAUCUCAGUACCAUAUGAAGUGUUCUAAUUUUGAGGAUUGCAGAAAGCUUUCACCUUUUAAUUAGUUUUUCCAAAAUAGCUAACACUUUUUUAGUUGUCCAGUUUGGCAGAAAUGAAAGGAGGUUAAAACUUUUACGAAGAUAUAGAUAAAAUUUAUGGUUUUAUUUUCUUUCCUUUUCUUUUGAUGUCCAAAUCAGAAGUUAAAAAGAUCCCUUUUUUUUUUCUCAGUUUAUAGUAUCUGCUUUCAUCCUCUAUUUUCCCAAAUUUAUGGUAUCUACUUUCAUCAAAUAUGCAUUUGCGUGUCUUGUUCUUCCUAACUAUUACGCGGCAAGACUGACACAAUUGCAAUCACAAGCUCUGCUGUAAAAGAUUUGGCCAUCUUAUUCGAUUAAUUUGACUCUUAAUGAACUUAUGCAUAGGUGUUUUAUAUCAUACAUUACUCUUGUUUAUGAUCUACUCAUGCAAUGAUCCUCUCGUUUGAGAUUCUUGUCUUCAUCAAUCAAAUACAAAUUGGAUGCAUCAUAAGCUCAAGUCCACCAGAUGUGCAGCUGCAUGAUCUUCUUGCAUCUCAUGCUCAGAUCUUUUCAGUUGAUGAGUCUCCCAUUAAUGGGGGACAUGCUGCUGCAGCUGAUGGAAUUGGGCCGAAGAGGCUUUCACAUGCAUGUCAAUGUGACAAGGAUGAUAUGUGCACGCAAGAAUGAUCCAUUUAUGGCCACCUUCAAAAUUCAUCGCCAAUCAAAGGCCAAGUUCAAAUGGGGCCCCUCUUUUUGCUGUUUGCAUUACCCAAUAAAUAAAAACCCCAAGAGAAAAGCGUCAAUCAUACGCAGCACUCGAUUACCAAAGCCGUGUGUCCUCUGCAUAUUCUGUCCCUUUUCUGCCGGUGCUGCUCGUUUUCUCUUCCGCGUCGCUUCUUCGCCUUUUGUAGAUCUCCGGAUUCGCGCCUGAUAUGUCUUCCUCCAAGCCCGCCGGAUCCAUCCAUGACUUCACCGUCAAGGAUGCCAGGGGAAAUGAUGUGGAUCUUAGCAUUUACAAAGGGAAGGUCUUGCUGAUUGUCAAUGUUGCAUCUCAAUGGAAACAAAAAACUGCUAAAGGGCAUGAAGAAUGUAGAGUUAAGGUGCAGCUUACCUUGAUAUAUUCAGUGCUUGUGUGAAUUGAGGGUAGUGAUGAACCAAGGAAGUUUGUAGUUCUCCAUCUAUCCACACCUGCAGAUUGUGCUGAAGAGUGUACCAGCCUUGAUCACCCAUCCCAAGGCAUUGUAGCCUGAGCUCCGGGCAGUUACUGAUGCUAAAAAAUUGAAGUUUGCUUGGAAAACCAUCAUUUGGCAAGCACAAGAGGCCAGGACAGUCUGAGAUCUCGAGACGUGCAAGUGAGGCCAUGUUUAUGAGGCUAACUGGUAAAUACAUGAGAUGCCUGCAGUUUUCGAUCGCCAAGUCCUCUAACUUUAUUAGUUUUGGCAGUCCUUUGGGAAGAGUAUGGAGCUCAGGGCAGUGCUUGAUGGCCAAGUACAACAGGCCGGUCGGGAGCCAAUCAUCCGGUAAUGAUAACAAUUGAUUGCAGUGACUAAUUUCCAAUUGACGGAUCAAAGCAUGGGAACCUUGUAUAUUGAAAGGAAAGGUUCUCCAUUGCAGUCCACUGAGAGUCAGGGAGGGAAGCAAGGAAACAACAGACCAGGAACUCCAAAUCCAGUCAUCAGUAGUCUUCACUUCUAGUGAUUUGAGUGCUGGGAAGUCAGAUAGGCCAGCAAAACUUUGGGAUGCUUCUAUAACCAACUUCGUCAAAGCAGGAAAUUUGUGCUUUAAUUGGUCAAGAGCAAAGCAGUCCUUGAUAACAAGCUCACGAAGAGAAGGCAAAACACAGUCAUCAGCACCACACCAUUCUUCCAGUCCUGACAUUGUUUCUAGAUGUAGCUUCUCCAAUGAUGGAAACCUUUGCUUGUUACUGCCACAAAAUGAGCAGUCAAGGUGCUGCACCCGAUGCAUUUCUUUUAUGUAUAGAUAUUUAAGCUUCGGUAAUUGGCCAAGUGGUGGGAGGUUAAAACAAUUAUCACAGUUGCAGAUCCAUAAGGUCACUAGAUUGGAGAAGGAAGGAUCUCCUACCCAAGUUGGAAAUGUUGUUCCUCCAUACCCAACUAUUCCAAGCUCUUUCAGGUUCGUAUGAGGUCUGAGAUUUUUUAGAACAUAUUCUUUCUCCUCAUAUCCAAUACUUUGUGCAACUGCUUCAGUUAUAUUACUGUAGUUCCAUGUCAACUCCAGCCUGUUGAUGUGUUCCUUGCUCAUGAGGUUUGCUUCAACAGCUUCUGCUGCCUUGAAAACAAGAUCAAGUCUUGCAAUGAGAAGUUCACCAUGGAGAUUGUUCAAGUCCCUCAACUGAGAUAAACCACAGUGAAGCCUUGUGCUCACAAUAUAUCUUGAAAGUGUUUGAAGAUCAGUUAACAAUCCAAUAUCUGGUGGCAUAAAUCUCAAAUUGCCUCUUGUGUGCGUUCCUUCCGGCGCCAAUGUCAUUCUUGAAUUACCAUCAAGAUGUUGGUCAAGAUUCUGUAACUUGCGCAGAUUCCUCGUAUCCUUUGGAAGCUCUUCAAGAAAAUAGCAAUUCCUAAGUACCAAGGUUUGCAGGUUGUAGAGGUGAGACACAGAUUCAGGCAGUCUAAUGAUAUUUGUGUUCUGUAGUUGGAGACAGCGCAGAUGCUUCAGAUCCCCGAUUGAUUCGGGCAGCAGAGCCAAUCCCAAAUUGCUUAGAUUUAGAGUGCGUAGGCUCUGAAGUCUAUCGGCAAGAUCAUCAGGAACGGUCAUCAUGUAACUCGUAGAGCCGCCAACCAGGAUUAGUGUAUGCAAGCCUUUGCAUUUAUAAACUUCCUCAGAUAAAUUGUUUUCUCCCUUUAACCGAGGUGAUAUGUUUGAGAUAUUUUGAUCAAAUAGGUCAUAUUUCAGUGAUAAAUGGCGAAUGCUGGCAGAGCCAAACCAGCCUUUGCCGGGCUCCACGACAGAACAUUCCUCGGCUGCUAUAUGUCGGGCAAAUUCAUGAACAACAUCAUGCAUGAUGUACCUAGAGGUGUUUGUUGAAUUCUGGACUUGAAGAGGAGAUGGUAGCUGAGCAAUCACACACUGUGAAGGUGUGGUUAGAACUGCUUUGCCAUUAAGAUGAAGUUUUGGAAGCUAACAUGGUUGACUCAGUCUGCUCUGGAAUCUUUAUCAUAUAAGGGAGUGCUCAGAGUGUCGGAAUGA